CUGUUCCCCCCCAGCUCACGGCCGAGUCCCACUUCAUGAAGGACCUGGGCCUGGACAGUCUGGACCAAGUGGAGAUCAUCAUGGCCAUGGAGGACGAAUUCGGAUUUGAAAUUCCUGACGGAGAUGCAGAGAAGCUGAUGUGCCCACAGGAGAUUGUAGAUUACAUUGCAGAUAAGAAGGAUGUUUAUGAAUGAAGCAGUUCCU